CCGAAUGCGACUCCAGUGUACUAAAAUUGGAACGAUACAGAGAAAAUUAGCAUGGCCCCAGCGCAAGGAUACACGCAAAAUAGUGAAACGUUCCACACUCCU